AUUGAACGCUGGCGGCAUGCCUUACACAUGCAAGUCGAACGGCAGCACGGGGGCAACCCUGGUGGCGAGUGGCGAACGGGUGAGUAAUGCAUCGGAACGUGCCCAGUAGUGGGGGAUAACUAGUCGAAAGAUUAGCUAAUACCGCAUACGACCUACGGGUGAAAGCGGGGGAUUCGCAAGAACCUCGCGCUAUCGGAGCGGCCGAUGUCUGAUUAGCUAGUUGGCGGGGAAAAGCCCACCAAGGCUUCGAUCAGUAGCUGGUCUGAGAGGACGACCAGCCACACUGGGACUGAGGCACGGCCAGACUCCUACGGGAGCAGCAGUGGGGAAUUUUGGACAAUGGGCGCAAGCCUGAUCCAGCCAUGCCGCGUGCGGGAAGAAGGCCUCGG
rnacentral:rRNA from 1 species